rnacentral:rRNA from 1 species
CGAUACGAGUUUGAUCAUGGCUCAGGAUGAACGCUAGCGGCAGGCCUAAUACAUGCAAGUCGAACGGAUAUAUGUUUUUCGGAAUAUAUAUUAGUGGCGCACGGGUGAGUAACACGUACAUAACUUGCCCUCAAGCGGGGGAUAGCCUUGGGAAACUGAGAGUAAUACCCCAUAGAAUUAUUGGACGGCAUCGUUUGAUAAUUAAAACUACGGUGUUUGGGGAUAGAUGUGCGUCUGAUUAGCUAGUUGGUGAGGUAACUGCUCACCAAGGCGACGGUCAGUAGGGGGCGUGAGAGCGUGGCCCCCCACACGGGUACUGAGACACGGACCCGACUCCUACGGGAGGCAGCAGUAAGGAAUAUUGGUCAAUGGAGGGAACUCUGAACCAGCCAUGCCGCGUGAAGGAUGACGGCCCUCUGGGUUGUAAACUUCUUUUGGAUGGGGCGAAAAAACGGGAUUUAUCCUGGACUGACGGUACCAUCAGAAUAAGCACCGGCUAACUCCGUG